rnacentral:piRNA from 1 species
UGCUCAGCUUUGAAUUCUGGCAGGAAAAAA